rnacentral:rRNA from 1 species
ACGUAGGAGGCGAGCGUUAUCCGGAUUCACUGGGCGUAAAGCGCGCGUAGGUGGCAUGGUAAGUCGGAUGUUAAAGACCCACGGCUCACCCGGGGGAAUGCGUCCGAUACUGCCGUGCUAGAGUGCGGGAGAGGAAAAUGGAAUUCCCGGUGUAGUGGUGAAAUGCGUAGAUAUCGGGAGGAACACCAGUGGCGCAGGCGGGUGCCUGGGCGACGACUGACACUGAGGGACGAAAGCGUGGGGAGCGAACAG